GGGGCUAUAGCUCAGUUGGGAGAGCGUUUGACUGGCAGUCAAAAGGUCGGCGGUUCGAACCCGCCUAGCUCCA
rnacentral:tRNA from 1 species